rnacentral:rRNA from 1 species
GACGAACGCUGGCGGCGUGCUUAACACAUGCAAGUCGAACGGAAAGGCCCUGCUUUUGUGGGGUGCUCGAGUGGCGAACGGGUGAGUAACACGUGAGUAACCUGCCCUUGACUUUGGGAUAACUUCAGGAAACUGGGGCUAAUACCGGAUAGGAGCUCCUGCUGCAUGGUGGGGGUUGGAAAGUUUCGGCGGUUGGGGAUGGACUCGCGGCUUAUCAGCUUGUUGGUGGGGUAGUGGCUUACCAAGGCUUUGACGGGUAGCCGGCCUGAGAGGGUGACCGGGGACAAUGGGACUGAGAGACGGACCAGAAGCGUACGGGAGGCAGCAGGGGGGAGUAUUGCGCAAUGGGCGGGAGCCUGAGACGUCAGCCCCGGGUGCGGAAUGACGGCCUUCGGGGUGUAAACAGCUUUCGCCGGUGACGAAGCGUGAGUGACGGUAAUGGGUAAAAAAGCACCGGCUAACUACGUG